rnacentral:sRNA from 1 species
AUAUUUUAAAAAUAGGGAUUAUCAUUUACUGUUUAGAAUUCAAAUAUCAUCGAUAAAAAUUUAUACUAUUGUUUUAUAAAUCCGCUUAUCUAGACGGGCCUAACCUAGUAAAUAUAUAAUACACAUCUUAUCAUUCGGUCAAAAUAUUAUGAAAACAUCAUUA